rnacentral:rRNA from 1 species
GAUGAACGCUGGCGGCGUGCCUAAUACAUGCAAGUCGAGCGAAUGGAUUAAGAGCUUGCUCUUAUGAAGUUAGCGGCGGACGGGUGAGUAACACGUGGGUAACCUGCCCAUAAGACUGGGAUAACUCCGGGAAACCGGGGCUAAUACCGGAUAACAUUUUGAACCGCAUGGUUCGAAAUUGAAAGGCGGCUUCGGCUGGCACUUAUGGAUGGACCCGCGUCGCAUUAGCGAGUUGGUGGGGUAACGGCUCACCAAGGCAACGAUGCGUAGCCGACCUGAGAGGGGGAUCGGCCACACUGGGACUGAGACACGGGCCAGACUCCUACGGGAGGCAGCAGUAGGGAAUCUUCCGCAAUGGACGAAAGUCUGACGGAGCAACGCCGCGUGAGUGAUGAAGGCUUUCGGGACGUAAAACUCUGUUGUUAGGGAAGAACAAGUGCUAGUUGAAUAAGCUGGCACCUUGACGGUACCUAACCAGAAAGCCACGGCUAACUACGUGCCAGCCGCCGCAGUAA